GGUUGUGGCUCAAUGGUAGCGUGCUUGCCUAGCCUGUGUGAGGCACUGGGUUCGAUUCUCAGAACCA
rnacentral:tRNA from 1 species